GACGAACCGUGCGAACGUUAUUCGGAAUCACUGGGCUUAAAGCGCGUGUAGGCGGGACGGCACGUCGGUCGCUGAAAGCCCCCGGCUCAACCGGGGAACGGGCGCCGAUACGACCGGCCUGGAGGGACGUAGGGGGACCUGGAACUUCCGGUGGAGCGGUGAAAUGCGUUGAGAUCGGAAGGAACACCUGUGGCGAAAGCGGCGCACUGGACCACAACUGACGCUGAGGCGCGAAAGCUAGGGGAGCAAACAGG
rnacentral:rRNA from 1 species